UUGAACUUCUACUAUGUGUCAGGCAUUGGGGAGUAUUAAAAUGAGAUAAUCUCUUAAGAGGCUUAGCCUACUAGAAUUGGAAAUUGUACCAAUGGAGACAGUCUAGUUGAGACUGAAUUUAGCUGUUUGCAUAGGAGCCAUCUUAUGUGCUUGUGUGUGUGUGCAGUGUGAAAUAUGACUGAGGAUGUAUAUAUUUAGCAUGGUGGGAUUUUUAUUCCCUACAGAGAUGUAAUAUUAAACCAAGGAUGCAUCUUCCAAAUGAUGGAAUCUUGAGCUGAAAGAAGUAUGAUGAACAGAAAGUUAAUGAACCAUCUGAGUCAGCUUGGGGGCAAAAGGUCAACCAGGGCUUUCCAGAGGGUUGACCCUUGAACUAAAACUUGAACAAAGCAGCCAACCUAUAGUGGGACAGGGAAAGGAGAUAGAAGGUGGUCCACAAUGAGCAGUCAAUAAGCUUCCUAGAGCACAGAGAUGAAGAAUAUGGGUUUUGAAGUUAGAUAGACAUGAUUUUGAAAAUUCUGGGCAAGUGGCUUAACCUCUUUGAACCUCACUUACUUCACUUGUGAGACAGUAAUUUAUAUACCCCAUCCUUACAUCCUGUAAGGAUGACAGGAGAUGUUUGUGUAGCUCCUAGGGAGCAGCCAGUGAGCAUAACUCUUUUUCUAAUUAUCCUCAUAACCCAAGUGAUGUAUAUAGUGUGGAGCAGAGGGUAAAGCAGGGGAUGAUGGUAGACAUAUGAGAGGGUGCAGAGACAGAGGAUAUAUGUGCUGAGUUGCAUGCUAAGGAAGUUAGAUGUUAUCUCUAAGAUAAUGAUUAGCGAAGGAAGGGUCUUAAGUGAGGAGUACAAUU